rnacentral:rRNA from 1 species
UACGUAGGGGGCAAGCGUUGUCCGGAUUUAUUGGGCGUAAAGAGCGUGUAGGCGGCCAUACAGGUCAGCUGUGAAAACUCGAGGCUCAACCUCGAGACGUCGGUUGAAACCGUAUGGCUAGAGUCCGGAAGAGGAGAGUGGAAUUCCCGGUGUAGCGGUGAAAUGCGCCAGAUAUCGGGGAAGAACACCCGUGGCGAAGGCGGCUCUCUGGGACGGUACUGACGCUGAGACGCGAAAAGCGUGGGGAGCGAACAGG